UACGGAGGGGGGCUAGCGUUGUUCGGAAUUACUGGGCGUAAAGCGCGUGUAGGCGGCUUUGCAAGUCGGAUGUGAAAGCCCUCGGCUCAACCGAGGAAGUGCGUUCGAAACUGCAGAGCUUGAGUACCGGAGAGGGUGGCGGAAUUCCCCAAGUAGAGGUGAAAUUCGUAGAUAUUAGGAAGAACACCGGUGGCGAAGGCGGCCAUCUGGCUCGGUACUGACGCUCAGGCGCGAAAGCGUGGGGAGCAAACAGG
rnacentral:rRNA from 1 species